rnacentral:misc_RNA from 1 species
GAUGAAGAACGUAGUGAAAUGCGAUAAGUAAUGUGAAUUGCAGAAUUCAGUGAAUCAUCGAAUCUUUGAACGCACAUUGCGCCCGCCAGCACUCUGGCGGGCAUGCCUGUUCGAGCGUCAUUUCAACCAUCAAGCCCCCAGGGGCUUGUGCUGGGGCCCUGCGGCUGCCCGCAGGCCCUGAAAACCAGUGGCGGGCUCGCUAGUCACACCGAGCGCAGUAGCAUAUCUCGCUCAGGGCGUGCGGCGGGCUCCUGCCGUGAAACCCCCCACUGUAACCCCAAAGGUUGACCUCGGAUCAGGUAGGAAUACCCGCUGAACUUAAGCAUAUCAAUAAGCGGAGGA